AUUGAACGCUGGCGGCAGGCCUAACACAUGCAAGUCGAGCGAGCGGCGGACGGGUGAGUAAUGUAUGGGGAUCUGCCUGAUGGCGGGGGAUACCUCCUGGAAACGGUAGCUAAUACCGCAUACCAUCAGAUGAACCCCUAUGGGAUUAGCUUGUAGGUGAGGUAACGGCUCACCUAGUCGACGAUCCAUAGCUGGUCUGAGAGGAUGAUCAGCCACACUGGGACUGAGACACGGCCCAGACUCCUACGGGAGGCAGCAGUGGGGAAUAUUGCACAAUGGGCGCAAGCCUGAUGCAGCCAUGCCGCGUGUAUGAAGAAGGCCUUCGGGUUGAAAAGUACUUUCAGUCGGGAAGCGUUACCGACAGAAGAAGCAACGGCUAACUCCGUGCCAGCCGCCGCGGUAAUGC
rnacentral:rRNA from 1 species